UCCAGGAUAGCUCCGUUGGUAGAGCAUGAGACCGCUAAUCUCAGGGACAUGGGUUCAAGCCUCAAACGGGAA